AGGAGCAAAUUUCUGGAUGCACUCAUUUCUCUCUUGUCCUAAUGAUUGUUUCAGAUUGUCUUCUGCCCUGUUACACAGUGGUGCUUUUUGGUCCCUUGUGCUGGAAGCUGAGGAUCAGAUGCCCUGAAGUUGUUUCAGAUGUUCCAGACUUCAUAGUGCUGCAAUUAUGUCAUCUUACUUUAUCUGAAAUGUUCCAAUACAGGCCUGGACUUUUGGUUUUGUGCUUAAGAGGCUAAAGGAUUUCAAACCUGAGCACACAGAUAUUGGAUACUGCUUCUUUGUAAGGACUCAAUCCUUCUAAAGGCAAAAUGCCUUGAACAGGAGAAUUUGUACAUGGCGUUUCUGUUUGUCAAACCUGCUUUUAUUAGUAGAUGUGUUCCUUUGAUAUUGAGCUGUGGGCUAAUAGCAAAAAUAGGUUUUAAAGAAGUUCCAUAUUUAAAUGUUCUUUUAAAACUACCUUGAGUGUUUUAAAAUCAUUUUUAAAAUAACUUCUUAAACUUGUAAUGAAAAUCUUUUUAGGUGCUGUCAGGUUGAAGCCUUGUACUUUGGUUGAAAUAGCUGUUUUGUGAGGCAAGUUUUAAGAUUUUAGGGAUUUAAAAUCCACGUACUAAGAAACUGCCAGUUACCAGAUACAAUCUGUGGAAUUUCAGUGCCAGCAAAGCAUUCUUAGUCAUGCAUAGUGAUGCUAUAUUGUCACUUGUAGACUAGCUUUGGCAGUAAUUUUCCUGGGAAGAAUCUAAAACAGUAUGAUAACUGUGUGUGAGCUUGGUGUUGUAACUGUCAGGCUAGGUCUCUUCAGCUCCAUAACAGAGGUCCCAUUUCAUUUUAGUUGCUGUACAUUGGGUGGGUAUGUAUAUGUUUGGAAUUCUUUUUCUUCCUGCAAUGGUUGCUUGAAUUCUGUGUGACCUCAAUAUUAUCAAUGUAUUAUAAUGGAUAUGUAAAGAGUAUAUAGCAUUACAUUGUACUUGGUACAGAUUUUUAUUACAAGUUAAUUUAUACCAACUGUGAUCUAGAUGUAGCCAGUGGAAAACGAAUUAAACGAUAUAUUUUUAUCC
rnacentral:lncRNA from 1 species